rnacentral:lncRNA from 1 species
CUAACAUUGCCUUCAAUAAAAUGAGAUUAAAAAAGUAGAGUGAAAUAACACUCUAAACCAGAUUCUAGUGAGAAGAACUUGAAGGAGAGAUUUCCUCAGCAUCGGUCUUUAAAUCAGCUGAAAGGCCAGAAAUAAAUGGUGACUGAAGUCACUCAUCAGUCUAUGAGGGAAGGGGAUUAAAAUCUGUGUUCACAGGCUGAGAGCAGGUGUCUGUGAUGAGACCCCAUGCUGUGACAUGGAUGCAGCACAUUCUUACAUGAAAAGACCUGGCUGAUGAAAUGACCACAGGAAGACAACAUGGAACCCUCCCAGAACAAUCAGAAGAAGCUUAAUUAAGCUCUGUGGUUAAAUUUAAAGAGAGUGUGUGCCUGUUUUAGAAGAGCAUUAAGAAAACUGAAAACAUGGCAUUUUUGAAAAUUAUAUUCUGGUCUUCCUGACAUUCUUCAAGCAAACUGUCUUGUUUCUUGCAUGGUCAAAUGAUACAGUGACUCAGAAAUGA